CACACUAAUCAUGGAGAGGCUGGGAAAUAGAGUCGAGUUAUGGCAGCAGAAGGAAAGGGAAAAGGGUGUGCUGAGCCGCUAACUUGUGUCUGCUACACCAUGGAACUUCUGGGAUUCUUCUCCCAUGUGGCAGCAACCAAGAUCAAGUCUGUAAAUUCCUGAGACACAAUAAGAGCCAAAGGUCUCACUUUGGACAACCUGUUGCCUGUUUCACGUGCACGACAACAGCCGUGGAUAUCUAGAAGGAAGCAAGGCCACUGAGACGCAGAAUGUUGACAUCGCUUGCCCACCGUGAUGAACUGGCUGGGGACGGGGGCAGGAUUCAGUGUGCAACCCACAUGUCGUGCAUGCUGUCUCCCAACACUAGCACGGAAGCCAGAUGGACCAUCCACUGUGAAAGAGGCGUGAGCAAAACGCUCCGGCUCAGUGGUCAACACGGACCGAGCAG